AAUAUUUAUAAAUCAAAGAAUUGGGUUAUAUGGUCUCAUAAUGAAGAAGCAGAAUGUAAGGUACACCUUACCAGAUGCAAUUUAAUUUAUGACUUACAUUUGAACCUCUAAGUCAUUAAAUAUAGUCUUCAAUUUUAAGACCGAGGUUGGCAUGUCCAGAAGAGAAUAACUAUGAAAUGCACACAUCGUUUUCUCAAUUUUCAUUAGACUUGCAUAUGAAAAAAAUCACAAGCAUUAUUUAUGAAGUUUGAAGUGAUUUCUGCAUACUUUGAUCUUUUAUAUUUUGACAUUCAUGACCUUAGUGAAGACAGGACAGUAAAAAUAUGAUUAGGCUAAUUGUCAGAUCAAGGACUCUGAUUAAUGAAAAUAAAUGGAAGAGGUUGAUUAUUUUUUUCUUCCUCUGCCCCCCUUUACCCUGGAAAGAAUAUCCUAGAAACCACAUUAAACUGCACUUCCCCUGAGCACAUCCUUCCUAACUAGGCUAGUCGUGAAACUGGAGUGCAAGGCCAGGUGGAGGAAUGGGGUUGACUCAAUGGCAAUCCAAGGCUGACAGCUGUGCUAAUGGAUGACUUAGGCAAGAAAUACAGUGAUUGACUCAUGAAAUGAAAAGCAGGACUGGUCUCACGGACAGCUGGGAUUCAGACUUCAGAAAGCCUCCAUCAGGACUUAGCUUCUUUCCAGCCCUUUGCCCUUUCUGCUGUGUUGGCCUUAGUCUUGUGCUUCACAGUGGCAGGAUGGCUUUGGCAGCUCCAUCCUCAUGUCCUCUCCCCUCCACAUCCCACCUCUCUGAAGUCUCAGCAAAAGUCUCAUGAUUUAUUGGCUUUGGUCAGGUCAGGUGUCCAUUGCUGAAAACCAAUUCCCAUGGCUGGUUCUCCACAGAAAAAAAUAAAAUAUGACAAAAAUGAGGGUAAACGUAAAAAACAGAAAACAAACAAAAAAAACUGUCCUAUGUCAGAGCCAAAAAAUCAUAAUGAAGUGGAAGCUGCAAAAGCAAGAGAAAGGCAUGAGUUACAGAGAGAAGCAGAAGUUGGAGAUGAGGAAAAGGGG
rnacentral:lncRNA from 1 species